rnacentral:rRNA from 1 species
UUUAGUUAACUAAAAAAGACCAAGAUAAUAAAAGCUAUGCUCUCCAAACCUAAAGGAUUUGGCGGUAACUUAGUCCAGUCAGAGGAACCUGUUUGGUAAACGAUAAACCACGAAAAAUCUUACCUGCUUUCAAAGUUUGUAUACCGUCAUUAUUAGAUAACUUUCAGUGAAAAAGUUAUUUCAACAAAUUUAUUUUAAUAUAUUAGAUCAAGGUGCAGCCAAUAAGCAGGUCUUAAUGGGUUACAAUAAAUACUUAUUUACCAACGAAUAUAAAAUGCAAGCAUUUUAUUGAAGGAGGAUUUGAUAGUAAAAUUGGUUUAAUAAGCCUCUUUGAUAAAGGAUCUAAGUUGAGUACAUAUCGCCCGUCGCUUUCAUUCCACAGAUGAAAUAAGUCGUAACAUAG